ensembl:lncRNA
CCCCAUAGGCUCUGAGCUUUCUAGCACCGAGGGAACAGUGCUGCUGGAUCGAUGUCCAGGAUACAGGCAGUGUGGGUGGAUGUAGGGAGCGUUAGGGGGUGUGGGUGGGUGUAGGGCAUGUUGGUGGUGCAGGAGUGCUUCAGAAAGAGGUGGAGGAAGAUGAGAAGAAACACCUCAUUAGGGGCUCAGAGGGACUAGGGGCUGGACCACUUGAGGAGUGGCAAGAAUUUUGUGUUUGGAGCUGAGUCAGUGGGGUCCAGAUCCAAAGGCCUCACAUGCCAUGCUACGUUGGGAUGUUCACCUUGGCAGUGAAGACCCCAGGGUCCCAGGUGCCCAGUUCCUGAUAGUUGUUUCCAGGCAGUUCUAAGCUCCUUGCUGGGGUCACCAUCUCCCCCUGGCCAGUCCCUUCCCCUAGCCACGGGGCUCCUGCAGAACCCUGCCCCAACUGCUUUCAGAAUAGAGUCGGAACAACCAGAUCCUCAACACAAAAGUCAGGGAAGACCCUGGACGAUCUGAGUACAGUCCUGUUUGCCUGAUGGCUCUGUUUCCACAGAGGGGCCAGGCCCAUCAGAGGCGAAGGAGUACAGGCUGAGUUCUCUCAGUCAGCCACUGCGCACGUGGCUUUUUGAAAAAUGAAAAAUACCUUCUUUUCUUAAUUUGAAGGAAAUACAUGUACCUUGGGGGGCAAUUGAGCAUUUACAGAAGCGAUAAAAGAAAAAAAUUAAAUGACCCACCAUCUCACCAUCGAGAGGUAAAAAGCAUUAACAGCCUGUUGUAUAUCCUUUCCAAAUGUUUUUACACAUUUCAUAUUCUUNUUAAAGAAGAAGUGUUACUGGAGUAUAGUUGGCUUAGAAAGUUGUGUUAAUUUCAUGUGUACAGCAAAGCAUCUGUUAUACAUAUACACAUAUCUGAUCCUUUUCAGAUUCUUUUCCCAUAUAGGUAAUUACAUAGUAUUGAGUAAAUUACCCUGUGCUCUACAGUAGGUCCUUGUUUACUGAUCUGUUUUAUAUACACCAGUGUUACAUACCCUCUGACAGCUUCGCUUUGAAUGGUUGUAUGACGUUGUAUCUUAUGGUCGAGUCCCCAAUGUUGGACAUUUAGGUUGUUUCUCAUUUUUUGAUGCUGUAAUCAGUUCUGUCAUGAUUUGCCCCUGUAGUAUAACUUUUCAUAUGUGAUUGAUUAUAUCCUAGGGUUAAAUUCCUAAAUGUGGGUGCCGGGUUUGACCAGCCAGCUCAUCAAAGGCCUUGAAUGCCCAACAGAAAGAUCGCAGUGACAAUUGUUGAGGUGGGAAGGAAUCCGGCAAAUAGCGCCUCCUUCUGUACACUGGUUCUAAUGUAGCUGAGGUGGACAAUAGGCUAUGGUGGGGAGAUGGAGAGGAAAAUACUGCUAUUAUUACGGUUCAAGACUAGUUAGGAGGAGUUCCCAUUGUGGCCGACUAGUAUCCACGAGGAUACAGGUUCAAUCCCUGGCCUCGCUCAGUGGGGUAAGGAUCCAGCAUUGCUGUGGCUGUGUCGUAGGCUGUUGGCUACAGCUCUAAUUUGACCCCUAGCCGAGGAACCUCCAUAUGCCACAAGUGCAGCCCU